UCUUCCUUUGCUGGCGACCGGCGCACGGGUGAGUAACACGUAUCCAACCUGCCCUUUACUCGGGGAUAGCCUUUCGAAAGAAAGAUUAAUACCCGAUAGUAUAAUGAUUCCGCAUGGUUUCAUUAUUAAAGGAUUCCGGUAAAGGAUGGGGAUGCGUUCCAUUAGGUUGUUGGUGAGGUAACGGCUCACCAAGCCUUCGAUGGAUAGGGGUUCUGAGAGGAAGGUCCCCCACAUUGGAACUGAGACACGGUCCAA
rnacentral:rRNA from 1 species